CAUAAUUAGAAAAGUAUCACCAUUUUCCUGGGACAAAAAUAUGUAAGUUUAAACAUUUUUAGUGCCAGGUCAGUAGUCACGAUUUACCAACAGCAUUUUUUAUUUUAAAAAUACAGUUAGUGACUACACCAUUGGCUAACAAACUGAGACUUAAAGCAUUCUCUAGAUGCAAAUGCUACAAAUAAAUCAAAUUAUUAGGCAUAUUCACUAAUACUUACAAACUUAACUUCAUAUAUAAAGCAAGGUAGAUCACCAGUGUGGCCAUGCAAACAGGGUUUGAGGACUUCAAUAUUUAAAGCAAGUUAGUCCAACCCACAGCCCAAGGGCCACAUGCAGCCCAGGAUGGCUUUGAAUGAGGCCCAACACAAAUUAGCAAAUUACUAAACUUACUUAAAAUGAUGGGAUUUUAUUUUUUGCCAUUUUUUGGUUUGUGUGUUUGGUUUUUAGCUCAUCAGCUUUGUUAGUGUUAGUGUAUUUUAUGUGUGGCCCAAGACAAUACUUCCAAUGUGGCCCAGGGAAGCCAAAAGAUUGGACACUCCUGAUUUAAAGGGAAAAGGGAGGGCAGAUGAAGAAAGAGGAUAAAAAAAAGAGAGAGAAGGUAGACAAAACAGGAAAGUGGUUAGUCUUUGGAGGCUUUGAUUAGCACUUACUGAAUCUACAUUUUACAUGUGAAAGGAGUGGGUAGCGAAACAGUGAAUUAUGCAUAGUGCUCAGUGCGUCUGCAUUUUUGCAUAAGAUAAAGUAAACAUAGAGGAGGUGCUCAAAUAUGCAUUCCUCUCAGGUGAGCCAAGGGAUGCCCUCUAGGCCUGUCUUUGUCAAGGUACCGGUGAAGAUAAGCUGUUAGUUUACAUUGUCAAGGUGAAAUAGAACAGCGUUCUGUUUUAGGGUAAAGCUCUUGGGGCCCACGAGGAAUUUCCUUGUGAGCAAUUUGUGAAGGAGGCCACCGGGGGAGACAUGUGGCCUUCUGUCUUUGCAGCUAUCUACUUAGGAACAAAAUGGAAGGCAGUUUUUGCAUGAUGCAGUUACUGAGCUUCACUUUUCCCUUUGGCAUAGUGAGUUUGGGGUCCUGAGAUUUUUAUAUUCCUUUCACAGCCUCACUAUACUUGAAUUAAAAUACAAUCUACAUGUUAAAACUGACCACAUCAUUCUUUCCUGUGUGUCUUCAAAGGAUUUAAGGCCCAUCCAGAUAAUCCAAGAUGAUCUCAUUUCAAAGCCUUAAUUAUAUCUUUGAUGACUCUUUUUCCAAAUAAGGUCUCAAUUAGAGGUUCCUGGAAUAAGACACGGACUCAUCUCCCUGGGGGCCACCAUUCAGCCUGAUCCGGAAGGAAGGCCAUGAUUUCAGCUCUCUGGGAUUUGAGACAAAGAGGCCCCUUUUCUUUCAUUUUAUCUUUUCAUGUCUCUUCUUGCCAUGUACCCACAUGAUUGAGUGUGGGCUGAGGGUGAAUCCAAGAAGGGCUUUGUUUUGUGGUCAGUACAGGCUUUGGUCCACAGAGACAACAAUACUUUCAAUACUCUUUUGUUCUGCCCCAGAGGAGCUCAACACAGAAUUGCCUAGAACAAGAAACUGGUGAGAGAAGCUGCAGCCUGUUGAGACUCCACAAGACUGAAGAUAUGAAAAGAGGAAAUAUGCAUGAAUGCCCGCACGGAGAACCACCCCCACCUGCUGCUCCCGCUCUAAUGAUCACGCCCAUUAUCAACUGGGGGAUGGCUCUGUGCCUUGUCCUUGCAUUACAUGGACCAAGAACACUUCACAGGACUCAGAGAGGCAAAAAUAGAUACAAAAGAAGAAGGAAUUACAGAAGAAGUCACAUAACAUUAUUGCCUACAACUGACUGUUUACCUUGAAUACUUGAAGACCAGAAUGAAGAUUCUUGGGGUGAAGAAUUACAGCCUUAGCAUGGAGCAGGCCUCGGUGCAUCGGCUUUCAGCUAGGCAUGCCUGCCAAUGUUCAACGUCCUCCUGGGAUACGGAAGGCACCGUGAUAGACAUCUGGGCAAGUCAACAGGAAGGUGGAUAUCCAAAUCUCUCUCUUCGCAAUGAGUUUCCAGUUAGAUGGAGGAGAGAGUAAUAAAACACAGAGCUGAGAUUCCUGACUUCACAGAUCCCUGAGGAGAUGUUUACUAAAGGGAAUCUUCUGGUCACUGUUACCUUCCUCCGUACUUACCUGCCUCAUGGAUAACACUGAAGAAUGCAGUUUACUUACAUCUUUUUCUGUUUGACAGAAGACAGUUAUUAGUUACCCUUGGGACAUCAAAAUGACCAAGGCAGUGUCUGCUAAGUAUUUGCUGAGACUCUGCUAUGAUUCUUUCAAGUCUAAAGACAGUUAUCUGAAUGAUAUCCCCGUGACAGUGGACUCCUGCACAUUCACAGUCCUGGAAGGAGCCUGUCCACAUUGGCAUUCUGGAAGUCCAUAAAAGACAAACGCAUAUGCAGUCCCCGAGAAAGCAUUGUUGUAAACAAAUCUGCACUAGAUGGAAACUCUGUUAUGUGGUGCCGGCAUGCAUGGAAGAGAACCCGAAAGGAAGAAGCUAUACGACUGGGGACACAUGUCUUAGAAGCACACUCAUUAGAUAAAGUGUCGCAUACUCUUUGAUAAGAGGUUGCUGAAGUCAAAAGCAGCUCACUCCCAGUUCACUGAGCUUGAGUUCCGGCUGCAACUUGGCCUUGAGAUUUUUGAAACGUUGAUAUGGAAGAUAAAGAAAAACGCAGAUUCCUGUCUUCUAAGGAACAAAGGCUGGAAGACAGUUCUGCAGAUUCUGCCUUUGAGGGAUUAGAGGGAUGUGCCCAGGACCAGAUCUUCAGUUAUGCAAAUAUACCUUAGAGACCACAGUAAGAAAGACAUCGCUCUGAAAUGCUCUGGUCCCAAGGAAAAUAUUGCUCUAUAUAAUAAUGGAAAACGUUGUCUGUGUAUCAUGCUGAGCUGCAUUUUAUUUUGUACCCUUGAGAGAGCUUUUAUUUUCUUAUAAAUAAGGAUUGGUCUUGUUCUGGGUCUGAAAACUGUUGUGUAUUUUUGAGAUGUCUAUUUUUCUUUUCAGUUGCCUGUAAGAGAUUGGGAGCCGAGGGCCUGAGGGUGAAGCCUCGUUUGUGCAGGUGACUGUGGGACUCUGGUGUAAGUAACGCUGGGCCCACCCUGGUAAUGAAGGAAGACCCAGGCCCAGGCAGGGGCGGUGUCACAGGCACAGGGGCUCGCACCCUGGGCACUGACGGUGGCUGUCGCACCAGGGCCGCUCCUUGCAGAAACCUCACUGAGCCUGUGCCUGUUGAGUAGCUUCAUGAGGAGCGGAUAUCAGGCAGAGAAAGCCCGGGCAAGAGAGUGACACACGGGGCUUCUGCCCAGAACACGUGCGCCCACAAUCCCGGGAGCUGUACAAAUCCCAAGCGGGGAAGCGGAGGCCUCGACAGUUCAUGAUGCGGACAUGAAUGGGAAUGCGGCCGCUUGCCACACCUCCUUCUUCAUUUGGGGAAAUGCUUGAAGGUUUGUUUUGUGAAUGCUAGGUUAAGGUUUGGAAGUUUAUUUUAAAAAUUGACAUCAUGGCCGGGCGCGGUGGCUCACGCCUGUGAUCCCAGCACUUUGGGAGGCCGAGGCGGGCGGAUCACGAGGUCAGGAGAUCGAGA
rnacentral:lncRNA from 10 species